AGUAAGGUGCUUCAAAAUUUUACCAUCUACUAUACUAAACUCAUAAAAUAUCAGUAGAAGAACUGUAUCUUAGUCUGCCUACAGUCUUUAUGGCCUAAGAAGAUGCACUGAAAUUCACCAGCAGUGAAACAAAAAAGUGAUUGAUUAGAAGAAUUAGAAGAUUAUGUGACCCAAUGUUGGUUAAUGAGAAAGAAGAGGAAUUCAACAGCGAGGCUUCAGAAUGGUGCUAUAAUCAAGAAGAGAUAUAAAGAAGUAAACCACAUGAUGCUUCCAUUACUAGAACACGGGAACAGCAGCAAGACCUUUGCUUCAGUUUUUUCCAAUUGAUGAUGAAAGAUAUCAAUAUUCCAUCAUAACAAAAGGGCAAAGAAAGGGUAUGUUUCCACCUUCAAUCAGUGUAAAUGUUUAUAUCUGAUUUCACCAAUAUAUUAUUUAGUAUUUCUUUAUCCAUAUUCAUAACUCAUAAGUGAAAUUUGUCCGCAAUUUUUUUUCUUGAUCUAUCUUUGUCAGAUUUUAAUGUCAGAGUCCUAAAUACAUUUGAAAGCUCUAUGUCAUUUUCUAUAUUUUGGAAAACAUUAACGACAUCAGAAUUAUCUGUUCCUAGAGGUUUAAUGGAACUUACCAUCUGGAUAUGAAGACUAUUUUAGGUUUCAGUUUUGUUAAACUUCUUUUUCAUACCACAUUUUAAUAAAAUGUGUAACUCUAUUUGUGCAUGGAAACUAAAUAGUCACUUGUGAUCUACAGAUCUUUUCCCGUCAGUUCAUUAUGGCUUCUCUGGAAAGUUGUUACUUAUCCCCUCUGACCCACUGGCUUAUGGAACUGUCUAUUGCUAAUUAAAUUGUUUUAUGAUUCCCAUACAUUCAGCCAAACUUUCCUUAUUACUUAUUUUAAUUAUCCCCACUACCACUUCCAAUCCAAUUUGCUGAAUAUUUAUUCUUAUAAGAGAAAGUGGUAGGGUAUAUUUUGAGCUGAAGAACUA